rnacentral:rRNA from 1 species
UGGGAAACUGGGUCUAAUACCGGAUAGGAGCCAUCUUUAGUGUGGUGGUUGGAAAGUUUUUCGGUGUAGGAUGAGCUCGCGGCCUAUCAGCUUGUUGGUGGGGUAAUGGCCUACCAAGGCGGCGACGGGUAGCCGGCCUGAGAGGGUGUACGGCCACAUUGGGACUGAGAUACGGCCCAG